GACGAACGCUGGCGGCGUGCUUAACACAUGCAAGUCGAACGGAAAGGCCCUGCUUUUGUGGGGUGCUCGAGUGGCGAACGGGUGAGUAACACGUGAGUAACCUGCCCUUGACUUUGGGAUAACUUCAGGAAACUGGGGCUAAUACCGGAUAGGAGCUCCUGCUGCAUGGUGGGGGUUGGAAAGUUUCGGGGGUUGGGGAUGGACUCGCGGCUUAUCAGCUUGUUGGUGGGGUAGUGGCUUACCAAGGCUUUGACGGGUAGCCGGCCUGAGAGGGUGACCGGAGAGGUUGGGAUUGAGACAGGGGGCGGAGGCAGCAGGGAGGGAGGAGGGGGGGAAAGGGCGAAGGGGGUGGGAGGAGUAAGGAGCGGCGCCGUGUGGGGUGGGACGGUAGUCGGGGGGGAAAGAGGGUUAGGCGGUUACGGAGGGGGAGGGAGGUGGACGGGUAAAGAAGCGACGGCUAACUACGUG
rnacentral:rRNA from 1 species